GGACAGGGAUGGGCAUGCGGCGCAUUAGGAAGUAGGCGGGGUAACGGCCCACCUAUCCGACGAUCAGUAGGGGUUCUGAGAGGAAGGUCCCCCACAUUGGAACUGAGACACGGUCCAAACUCCUACGGGAGGCAGCAGUGAGGAAUACUGGUCAAUGGACGAGAGUCUGAACCAGCCAAGUAGCGUGCAGGAAGACGGCCCUAUGGGUUGUAAACUGCUUUUAUAAGGGAAUAAAGUGAGAGUCGUGACUCUUUUUGCAUGUACGUUAUGAAUAAGGACCGGCUAAUUCCGUGUCAGCAGCCGCGGUAAUACGGAAGGUCCGGGCGUUAUCCGGAUUUAUUGGGUUUAAAGGGAGCGUAGGCCGGAGAUUAAGCGUGUUGUGAAAUGUAGGCGCUCAACGUCUGCACUGCAGCGCGAACUGGUUUCCUUGAGUACGCACAAAGUGGGCGGAAUUCGUGGUGUAGCGUUGAAAUGCUUAGAUAUCACGAAGAACUCCGAUUGUGAAGGCAGCUCACUGGAGCGCAACUGACGCUGAAGCUCGAAAGUGCGGGUAUCGAACAGGAUUAGAUACCCUGGUAGUCCGCACGGUAAACGAUGGAUGCCCGCUGUUGGUCUGAAUAGGCCAGCGGCCAAGCGAAAGCAUUAAGCAUCCCACCUGGGGAGUACGCCGGCAACGGUGCAACUCAAAGGAA
rnacentral:rRNA from 1 species